rnacentral:tRNA from 1 species
GCCGACUUAGCUCAGUAGGUAGAGCAACUGACUUGUAAUCAGUAGGUCAUAGUCGGCACCA